UGAGGAAUAUUGCGCAAUGGGCGAAAGCCUGACGCAGCAUCGCCGCGUGAGUGACGAAGGCCUUCGGGUCGUAAAGCUCUGUCGGGAGGGAAGAAGGUCACUUCGGUGGCUUGACGGUACCUCGCAAGAAAGCACCGGCUAACUCCGUGCCAGCAGCCGCGGUAAUACGGAGGGUGCAAGCGUUGCUCGGAAUUAUUGGGCGUAAAGCGCGUGUAGGCGGCCAUCCAAGUCGGAUGUGAAAGCCCGGGGCUCAACUCCGGAACUGCAUCCGAUACUGCUUGGCUUGAGUACGGGAGAGGGAAGCGGAAUUCCCAGUGUAGAGGUGAAAUUCGUUGAUAUUGGGAGGAACACCCGUGGCGAAAGCGGCUUCCUGGACCGAUACUGACGCUGAGACGCGAAAGCGUGGGGAGCAAACAGG
rnacentral:rRNA from 1 species